AGUGAACGCUGGCGGUAGGCCUAACACAUGCAAGUCGAACGGCAGCACAGUAAGAGCUUGCUCUUACGGGUGGCGAGUGGCGGACGAGUGAGGAAUACAUCGGAAUCUACUUUUUCGUGGGGGAUAACGUAGGGAAACUUACGCUAAUACCGCAUACGACCUACGGGUGAAAGCAGGGGAUCUUCGGACCUUGCGCGAUUGAAUGAGCCGAUGUCGGAUUAGCUAGUUGGCGGGGUAAAGGCCCACCAAGGCGACGAUCCGUAGCUGGUCUGAGAGGAUGAUCAGCCACACUGGAACUGAGACACGGUCCAGACUCCUACGGGAGGCCGCAGUGGGGAAUAUUGGACAAUGGGCGGAAGCCUGAUCCAGCCAUACCGCGUGGGUGGAGAAGGCCUUCGGGUUGUAAAGCCCUUUUGUUGGGAAAGAAAAGCAGCAGGUUAAUACCCCGCUGUUCUGACGGUACCCAAAGAAUAAGCACCGGCUAACUUCGUG
rnacentral:rRNA from 1 species